rnacentral:rRNA from 1 species
ACUAGAGUAGCACUCGCAUAUCAAUAAGCGGAGGAAAAGAAACUAACAAGGAUUCCCCUAGUAACGGCGAGUGAAGCGGGAAGAGCUCAAAUUUGAAAUCUUAAAGGGUUUCCCUUUACGAAUUGUAGUUUAAAGAAGUGUUUUCUGUUGAGGUUUUGGUAAAAGUUCUUUGGAAUAGGACAUCAUAGAGGGUGAGAAUCCCGUAUUUGACCUUUACUUUCAACUUUGUGAUACACUUUCAAAGAGUCGGAUUGUUUGGGAAUGCAGUCCAAAAUGGGUGGUAAAUUUCAUCUAAAGCUAAAUAUUGGCGAGAGACCGAUAGCGAACAAGUACCGUGAGGGAAAGACGAAAAGAACUUUGAAAAGAGAGUUAAACAGUACGUGAAAUUGUCAAAAGGGAAGCGUUUGACACCAGUGUUGUUUUUCUGAAAAUCAAUUAAAGAACUGUUUAUGCUAAGUUGUUUAGACUUUAUCAGCUAACUGUUUAGUUUUGAGCUUUUCUUUAAUGCACUUUUCAGUUAACAAGUCAACAUCAAUUUCUUUUGCUGUAAAAAAGCUUGAGGAAGGUGGCUUGAGAUUCGUCUUAAGUGUUUAUAGCCUCUUGCCUAUGCAGUCGGAGAGAUUGAGGUCUGCAGCGUAGAUCCUUCGGGGCUAAAUGCAUUUGUGCUAAGUUAUAGCAUUUUAUAGACAACUUGUUGACUAUGAUUUGUCUUGUAGCUUACUCGCUUAUGUUAUUUUACCUACGCUUAGGAUGUUGAGCGCAUGUCUCUCUCU